GUAGGUGAACCUGCGGAAGGAUCAUUACAGUAUGUUCAGGGGGGCUGCUGCUGGCUUCUAACCGAGGCAUGUGCGCGUCCCUCGCCUUCUAUUCCACAUACACCUGUGCACCUUUGGCGAGCGCCUCCCGUCUGGAGCCGUCCCUUGUAACCUCUUCGGAGGGUAGGGGCCGGGGCGCUCCCUCUUUAUUACAUUACAGCCUGUCUUAACGCAUGUCUAAGCUCUACGGAGUGAAAUGAAAUACAACUUUCAACAACGGAUCUCUUGGCUUUC
rnacentral:misc_RNA from 1 species